GCAUUUUCCUCGCAUGAGGGAGAUGAGAAAGGCGGAGCAAUCUGCCACUUAUGGAUGGACCUGCGGCGCAUUAGCUAGUUGGUAAGGUAACGGCUUACCAAGGCGACGAUGCGUAGCCGACCUGAGAGGGUGAUCGGCCACACUGGGACUGAGACACGGCCCAGACUCCUACGGGAGGCAGCAGUAGGGAAUCUUCCGCAAUGGACGAAAGUCUGACGGAGCAACGCCGCGUGAGUGAUGAAGGUUUUCGGAUCGUAAAGCUCUGUUGCCAGGGAAGAACGCCUAGGAGAGUAACUGCUCCUAGGGUGACGGUACCUGAGAAGAAAGCCCCGUGCUAACUUAACGUGCCAGCAGCCGCGGUAAUACGUAGGGGGCGAGCGUUGUCCGGAAUUAUUGGGCGUAAAGCGCGCGCAGGCCGGCAAAUGUAAGUUGGGUGUUUAAACCUAGGGCUUCAACCUUGGGUCGCAUCCAAAACUGCAUAGCUUGAGUACAGAAGAGGAAAGUGGAAUUCCACGUGUAGCGGUGAAAUGCGUAGAGAUGUGGAGGAACACCAGUGGCGAAGGCGACUUUCUGGGCUGUAACUGACGCU
rnacentral:rRNA from 1 species